rnacentral:rRNA from 1 species
AAAAGUUACUCAAGCGCGCACAAAGGAUGCCUUGACGUAAGAUACCGAUGAAGGACGUGAGGAGCUGCGAUAAGCUUCGGGGAGCUGCUAACUAAGCUUUGAGCCGAAGAUGUC